UUGGAGGGCAAGUCUGGUGCCAGCAGCCGCGGUACUUCCAGCUCCAAUAGCGUAUAUUAAAGUUGUUGCAGUUAAAAAGCUCGUAGUUGAAUUUCGGGGUCGGUAGGUCGGUCGUGCCACUGGUAUGAACUGGUUUUACUGAUUCCUCCCUCUUGAAGAACUGUAAUGCCAUUAAUUUGGUGUUGCAGGGAAUCAGGACUGUUACUUUGAAAAAAUUAGAGUGUUUAAAGCAGGCUUUAGCUUGGAUACAUUAGCAUGGAAUAAUGAAAUAGGACGUUUGAUCCUAUUUUGUUGGUUUCUAGGAUUGACGUAAUGAUUAAUAGGGAUAGUUGGGGGCAUUAGUAUUCAAUUGUCAGAAGUGAAAUUCUUGGAUUUAUUGAAGACUAACUACUGCGAAAGCAUUUGCCAAGGAUGUUUUCAUUAAUCAAGAAUGAAAGUUAGGGGAUUGAAGACGAUCAGAUACCGUCGUAGUCUUAACCAUAAACUAUGCCGACUAGGGAUCAGAUGAUGUUAAUUUUUUAAUGACUCAUUCGGCGCCUUACGGGAAAC
rnacentral:rRNA from 1 species